GAAUAAAAUAUUCCAUUGCUCUACAGAAACCUGAACAGCAGCUCUCAAAUAUUCCUAUCUCACAGCGCCCCACAGGACAGCAGGAAAAGAUCCACCAAAGGAAUUUGGGGGAUGAUAUUUUGUUCAGUUUCCCAGGAAAACUCUUUUAAAACCCCCAGUUUGCCCAAGCACUGCUUUCAGCACUUCCCCAGCCCUUUCCCAAAAACCUGAGCGCGUUAAAAAGCCUGGCUGCAAAGAUGUAACCACGAAUCCUGACCCACCAGGGUCAUUCCUUCCAGGUGUGACCCCAGUGAGGGUGAUUUCCACCUGUGAUUUCCACAGCUCCCUCCCCCAGAUCUGCAGAUCCCGUGGUCUGCAGCACCGCCAGAACAGAUGAAGCCACCGAGAGGAUGCUCACGGCGUGAACAAGAGUCAGAAGACCUCCUGAAUUAAUUUGUCACUGCUGUGGGGUAAAAACUCCUAAAAAUACCUCUGUCUGUGAUUUAAUUUCUCAUGCUCACCCAAAUGAGGGGAAACACCAUCUUGGUUUUUUCCAAGCCCCACGUCCACCGAACUUCCCCUUGUUUCUAGAAGAUGGGGGAACUGAGGUGUGGAAUAAUUAGAAGCCAAUCAGCAGGUCCAAAGCCGAGCUGAAAAUAGAUCCCAAAUCUCCUGAGCCUCAGGGCCACGUUCUGACUGUUCCCCUGCCAAGGUGUUCCACAGCAUCUUGAAAGAAUUUAGAUUAUAUUUUGGGGUCUACAAGUACCUGGUUAUGGGUUACUCCCCCUUUUAUAACAUGGAAAAUAAAUGAUAAAUAAGCCACCGCGAGCUCUCCGGAAGCACCACGUGCACAACAAAAUAAUAAAGAUGCAUCUUUUUCCUAUAAAAGAGCACUAACCUGAAACCUCCCUGGGAGGGCAGGAAAAUGUGGUUUGAGCUGCUUGAUUUUGCAAAUCAAGAGCUUUUAGAGGAGUGUUGUGAUGCUGAGGGCAGGGAGUUCAUUCGCCAUUGCCCUUGUUUGGAAUUCCCCUAACCCUUUUUGUGGGUUUUCAAUCAUUCUUUCCGGUUUGAAGGGGGAAAAAAAAGUUUUCUGUUCCUCGCCACUGAGUGAAAAACCCUUUUUUAAUGGGAAAUGAGUCAGGUGGUGCCUGGGCAGGGAGAUUUUGGAGGGUGGGCACAGGCUCCAUCCCCAGGGAACUCUUGAUUUACCAGCCCAAGAGGAACUGGUGGUGUGGAAAACAUCCACCUGGACUGGAUUCAGCAGCAGCUGUGCCUCUG